GCCUUCGUGGUGUAAUGGUCAGCACACUGAGCCAGUAUUUCAGAGGUCCGCGGUUCGAUUCCCGGCGAAGGCG
rfam:Stegodyphus mimosarum contig78593, whole genome shotgun sequence.